UACGAAGGGGGCUAGCGUUGUUCGGAAUUACUGGGCGUAAAGCGCGUGUAGGCGGGUCUUUAAGUCAGGGGGGAAAUGCCAAGGCUCAACCUUGGAACUGCCUUUGAUACUGGAGAUCUUGAGUCCGGGAGAGGUGGGUGGAACUGCGAGUGUAGAGGUGAAAUUCGUAGAUAUUCGCAAGAACACCAGUGGCGAAGGCGGCUCACUGGCCCGGAACUGACGCUGAGACGCGAAAGCGUGGGGAGCAAACAGG
rnacentral:rRNA from 1 species